rnacentral:rRNA from 1 species
UUCAGAACGUCGUGAGACAGUUCGGUCCCUAUCUGUCGUGGGCGCAGGAUAUUUGAGGAGCGCUGUCCCUAGUACGAGAGGACCGGGAUGGACGUACCUCUGGUGUACCAGUUGUCAUGCCAGUGGCAUAGCUGGGCAGCUAAGUACGGAAUGGAUAAACGCUGAAAGCAUCUAAGCGUGAAGCCACCUUCAAGAUAAGAUAUCCCAUAGUGUUAAGCUAGUAAGACCCCUUGUAGACUACAAGGUUGAUAGGCAGCGUGUGUAAGCAUGGCGACAUGUUCAGCUUGGCUGUACUAAUAGGUCGAGGGCUUGUCUAAUACAA